rnacentral:ribozyme from 1 species
AAAGAAAGGCGGAGCAAAGAAAGGCACAGGCAAAAAGAAAGGAAAGAAAAAGUGAGCAUGCGUAAAACUCUUUAUUAUCAUCCUAAUUUCAUCCCUGUUCUCUCAUCUGAAUAUUUUUUCACACAAU